rnacentral:rRNA from 1 species
UACGUAGGGGGCAAGCGUUGUCCGGAUUUAUUGGGCGUAAAGAGCGUGUAGGCGGCCAGAUAGGUCCGUUGUGAAAACUCGAGGCUCAACCUCGAGACGCCGAUGGAAACCAUCUGACUAGAGUCCGGAAGAGGAGGGUGGAAUUCCUGGUGUAGCGGUGAAAUGCGCAGAUAUCAGGAGGAACACCAACGGCGAAGGCAGCUCGCUGGGACGGUACUGACGCUAAGGCGCGAAAGCGUGGGGAGCGAACAGG